rnacentral:rRNA from 1 species
CCUACGGGAGGCAGCAGUGGGGAAUAUUGGACAAUGGGGGAAACCCUGAUCCAGCGAUGCCGCGUGAGUGAAGAAGGCCUUCGGGUCGUAAAGCUCUUUAGGUUGGGAAGAAGGUUGUAAGGGUAAUAUCCUUGCAAUUUGACGGUACCGACAGAAUAAGCACCGGCAAACUCUGUGCCAGCAGCCGCGGUAAUACAGAGGGUGCGAGCGUUAAUCGGAUUUACUGGGCGUAAAGGGUGCGUAGGCGGUUUUAUGAGUGUGAUGUGAAAGCCCUGGGCUCAACCUAGGAAGUGCAUCGCAAACGAUAGAACUGGAGUAUGUGAGAGGGUGGCGGAAUUUCCGGUGUAGCGGUGAAAUGCGUAGAUAUCGGAAGGAACGUCGAUGGCGAAGGCAGCCACCUGGCACAAUACUGACGCUGAGGCACGAAAGCGUGGGGAUCAAACAGGAUUAGAUACCCUGGUAGUCCACGCUGUAAACGAUGAUAACUAGAUGUUGGUAGGGGAACCUAUCGGUAUCGAAGCUAACGCGAUAGUAUCGCCUGGAUACGCGCAAGUUGAAACUUAAGGAAUUGAGG